UACGUAGGCAGCAAGCGUUGUUCGGAGUUACUGGGCGUAAAGAGUAUGUAGGCGGUUGGGCAAGUUCGAUGUGAAAUCUCCCGGCUUAACUGGGAGGGUGCGUCGAAGACUGCCUAGCUAGAGUGCGGGAGAGGAAAGCGGAAUUCCUGGUGUAGCGGUGAAAUGCGUAGAUAUCAGGAGGAACACCUGCGGUGUAGACGGCUUUCUGGACCGUGACUGACGCUGAGAUACGAAAGCGUGGGUAGCAAACAGG
rnacentral:rRNA from 1 species